GGCCCGCGGGCACCCCGGCAUGUAGAGCCUGACGGAGCGGCGCGGAGGUUGAUGUGGAAUGGAUCAAGCUGGGGGCUUACUGCUGCUCAAGUCUGCCCAAAGCAGGAUGUUUGGAGAAAGACUGCAAUUUGCAUGAGUGCCUGAGUCUGGGGGAACUGUUGAAUACUACAGAAGAAUAGGCUGGUCUAACACCAAACUCAUGAGCACCUUCAGCCUGACACCUUUUCUGUUCAGUUCACAUAUGCCCAAGGCUUGGACAUGCGACCUCAUCUGGUUCUGGCAAAAGUUCAAACAUCACCCAUUGUAGAAGUAGGAAGGCUAAGUAAUGAAAACCUGAGACUCUCUUGUAUAACGAGUGUACUUGCAAUCAGCACUGAUACCCCAGAAUCAACCCUUCACUGAAUGGAGUGGAACAUCUCUGAGCCUUUUGCUCCUUUCUCGGGCUCUCUGCUAAUUUGUGUAACUGUCUAAGCAUCAGAUAUCCAUGUUUUCUGGACUCCUUCGCUGCUGUCAUAGAUGGAAACUUUCAGGUGAGAAACCAAGAGGGGAAAAAAGCAAGAGGAAGCUGAAAGUAAAUGAAGACUCAGGAGAACAGUGCCUGUCAGAAGAAAUUGGUGGUGUUUUGUCACAGUACAUCUGCCGCUCCAGUGCUUUGUUCUAGAGAAAACAUCAGCAGGGAAAACAGCUGUGCUACCCUGAAGCCUUACUCUUCUGCUGUCUUCCUCGUGUACUUCAGCUGUUGAUUGGUGGUAAAGGUGAGCUUGGACAGAAAUGAGUUGCUGGACCUGGGCUUCACUCCAAAGUCUCCUGGCUUUUCUUCCCCUAGAAAUGGGGGUGAUGAUACUUUGCAUCUUGCAGGGAGCCUUAACGAGAAUUGCUAGUAAGCAAAUUCCCAUUUUUGCAGGAUGAGGGCUCUUAAGCCCAGGACCAUGAAGAAAAAUGAGGGAAAUUUGAAAACAUUGCCUGUCUGGUAAUGUAGAUGCUGUUUGCAUUUCUGUUUAUAGCUGCAGUUUGGCUAUGCAUAAAUAAAGCUGUCUCGUGUGU
rnacentral:lncRNA from 7 species